rnacentral:misc_RNA from 1 species
UUCUCAAAUCAAUUGUCAAUCAUACAAAAAGAUCUAUCCAAAAUACCUAGAAGACAAUAUUUAUAGAUUAUUUGUAAUCCUAUAUUAGGAUUUGAAAUCCUAAAUAGAAAAUAUGAAGCAAAUGUCAAUUGGGAAUCCUAAACCAAUAUAACUCCCUAAAUAAAUAAAGUAUUACUUGUUAUAUCUUUUCCUAAAAUAUUUAGUCAUCAAAUCUCUAGAAGAUCAUGCAUUAUUCUCCUUUGGUUGAAAAUAGCUUGACUUUAGAGAGUUGAACCGCAAAUAAGAAUCAAAGAGAGAAGGAUCCAAAGCUUGAAAUUUCCCUUCAAUAAUCCAAGUGGCAUCAGAGUUGGAAUGACCAUGGCAUUUGACAAGAAAUUUGCAGAAACCAAUUUGAGAGAAAGUAACAAAUCAUCUAGCACGGUUUCAAUAACAUCUUUCAGUCGAGGAAGAGAAAACCACUUUGGAACAUGUUGACCUGCAGAAACACUAGAAGACAAAGUACCUACAAAAACACUAGAAGGCAAUGUAGAAGGCUCAAAAGUGUUUCGAUAAGGUGACAAAUUUGCCACAUUGAAAUUAGGACUAAUCUUCGUAUGAUUAAGUCAAGUAAAUAUGCAUUAAAUCUAAAUUUUUGCAAAAUGGAGAUUGGGCCAGUGGCUUCAGCAUGCAAUUUCUUUAAGGAAUUUUUAGGAUAUCUUUUAGAGUAAACUCGAACCAUGACAUAGUCACCAACCUUGAAUUCUUUAUUCUUACGCACAUUAACAGUAAGUUUACAACUUUCAUUACUUAAAUCCUUUGCCUAAUCUUAGCAUGCAAAUCAUGAAUAUGUUGGGCAAAAGAUUCAAUAGGAUAUGAAAUGCAAGUAUGUGGAGAAAAAGGAACAAUG